AUGUGCUACAAUGUUUGGAAAUACUGGAUAUUCCGGAUGCAAGAGUUGCUUGUGUUCCACGAGAUAUCCAUUUACCAAACUUGUUACACCUUGGUCUUCCUGUUGAUAAAAAUCUGCUGGAUUGGAUUAACAGCAGGAUGUCUCUCAGUGUGGAGAGUAUGCAAGCUGCAGGAUCUUCACCUCACCAGAUCUUCUGCACUUUCUUCUGACCAUCUGAAUAGAAGCAUGAGUUCUAUUAUAUCUUUACUUGGAGGACAUGGCAACCUGAAAACUUUAGUAGUGGCUCAUGGCUCAUCGGCUAAAAAUGCUCGUGGCGUUUCAGACGUCACCCUGUCAUGGGAUCUCCUGGCACCCCCACUUCUCCAGAGAUUUGAGUUCUCGCCACAUAGCCAUAUCAUGUUCUCACGAAUUCCUCUGUGGAUUGAGAAACAUGGCAACCUAAGAAUUUUGAAGAUUGCAGUGAGGGAACUCCAGAUGAGUUGUGUUGAUAUCCUCAGAGGAUCGCCUGCCCUCACUGCUCUCUCUCUCUGUAUGUGGAGAAGGCGCCCUACGACAAGAUCAUCUUUGACAAGGCUGGGUUCUCAAUUCUCAAGUACUUCAAGUUGA
rnacentral:rRNA from 1 species